rnacentral:rRNA from 1 species
GAUGAACGCUAGCGGCAGGCCUAACACAUGCAAGUCGAGGGAGAAGCCCUUUCGGGGGCAGAAACCGGCGCACGGGUGCGUAACGCGUAUGCAACCUACCUUUCACAGGGGGAUAGCCCGAAGACAUUUGGAUUAAUACCCCAUAAUAUUAUUGUAUGGCAUCAUUUGAUAAUUAAAACUGCGGUGGUGAAAGAUGGGCAUGCGUCCUAUUAGCUAGUUGGAGUGGUAACGGCACCCCAAGGCUACGAUAGGUAGGGGUCCUGAGGGGGAGAUCCCCCACACUGGUACUGAGACAGGGACCAGACUCGUACGGGAGGCAGCAGUGAGGAAUAUUGGUCAAUGGUCGGAAGACUGAACCCGCCAUGCCGCGGGCAGGAAGAAUGCCUUAUGGGUUGUAAACUGCUUUUAUAUGGGAAGAAUAAGGCGUACGUGUACGUUGAUGACGGUACCAUAUGAAUAAGCAUCGGCUAACUCCGUG